UUGUGUCGGCGGUGCCAAGUACACCACGAGAGGCUGUAGAGCGGCCACUCCGGCACUCCCGCCUCUUUUGCCUCCCCAGCAUCACCCUCGCCUUCAUACAACAAAAUGUCUUCCGAUUCUGAAGAAGAAAAUAAUGCAAGACGUGAGGCAGAUGAUAGAGAUGACAGUGAUAGUGGCAGGUAUGAUCGUAGGUCAAGGACCAGAUCUCGUUCUCGGUCAGUUGAUGGGAGUCAUCAUUCUGAUGAUGGGAAUAGAGACAGCAGACUUCAUGGCUCUGAUGAGGAUCAAUCACCUGACAGGAAGGAAAAUGGCAUGAGAGGAGAUUCUGAUAAUGAGAAAUCUGAUAAUCGGCGUGAGUACAGUCGAUCAAGGAGUCCAGAAAACAAAGAUAUGGUUGAAUGGCGUGGGGAUGCUGAUGAAAAACGCUCCUCACGUAGUCGAAGUAAGAGUAAGCCGAGAGAUCAAGAUUCUGGCAAGGACCAAAAAUCAAGCUCCUCUGUAGCAAAGAAGAAGUCUCGAUCAAGGAGAUCACGUUCUCGUUCCCGAAGUAAGCGUCGUUCUCGUUCACGGACUAGACGGUCACACUCAAGAAGCAGGAAGAGAUCUCGAUCUAGAUCGCGUUCUCGAGGAUCCAGGUCACGAAGGAGGUCAAGAUCUCGUUCUAGAAGGCGUUCAAGAUCAAGGUCAAGGAGUGGGACACCAGUAGAUGGUGCUCGGCUGCACGUUGCAGAACUAGAUGUUGACACACGUAAACGUGACUUGGAGAGAGUGUUUGAGAAGUAUGGUCGUCUACGGGAAAUUUGGAUGGCACGUAAUCCUCCGUGUUUCGCAUUUGUUGUUUAUGCUCACCAGAAAGAUGCAGAUCGGGCUCUUAAGGAGACAGAUGGCAUAAUGAUUGGUCACUGCCGAAUCAAGGUUACACAGGCAAGACCCCGUGUACGUGGAGGUCGGAUGAGGGGAGGUUAUGACCCAAAUUUGCGUUGUUACCAGUGUGGAGAGCUGGGACAUUUCUCUCGGAAUUGCACCGACACCAAGUUUGGCUACAAACGACCUCCAACCCCUCCAGGGAUGUGUUAUGGUUUGGUAUUGUGGUCAUGUGGUUGGGUUAUUGGUGCGGUGGGGAGAGGCGCCUCCAGAGUGCCUUGAGAAGCGUGAUGAUGGCACAACUGCGGUGGCACGGCCGCGCUAACUCCACACGUAAGUCUACCACGCCAUCUCCUUAGACAUGUGAUAUGGCGUGUUCCACAGCUUAGGGGUUAAUUUUGAGUCGUGUGUUAAUGUGUUACUGUUGUCAACGUAUGAGUUGAAAGGCAGUGAAGAAGUCGGCAGUGUGAGGCAUGGUAAUGGACUACAUUCGGCAUGGGAGAUGGUAAAGAACUCCACUUUCAGUGUGUGAGAUGGCAAUGGACUACAUAAUGGGAGAUGGUAAAGAACUCAACUUACAGAGUGACGUGGUAGAGGACUUCAUGUAUUGCAAAAGAUGGCAAAGAACUCUUUCAGAAUGUGAAAUGAAAAGGACUACGUAGUGAGUGGUGGCAAAGGAUGCUUCUUACAGAAUGGGAGAUGAGCCCAUCGAGGAAGGCCUCGCCACAGAUCACGAUCCAGGUCACGGUCUCGUCACCGUAGCCGUUCUCGUUCCUGAGGAUCAAGUCGGCAGAGUUCUAGUGCGCUGGUUUGCAGUACUGGUAGGCAUCCUUGAAGAAUCAUUUUGGGUUCCUGAAUACCACGUUUGGAAACCCCUAAUAAAUGUAUGAAGAUGAAAGACAUUUCCAUGCUAACGUAUAUCGAACAGCAUAGUACAGUAUGGCUGUCGGUCUUCAGAUUUUGAGAUAUUGUCUUGGUUUCAUUAAUUUUUUACUACAGUACAGCAUACUGAUUUUUUGAAGUGUUUAUGGUUAAAUUAUCACAGUUUUUAUCAAUGUAAACUGAAUGUGGUCACUACUGGCACAAAUUUGUAAAUGAUACCAGCUUUCCCAGGCUCUCAAUGAUACAGCUUUUUUUCAUUUUUAUUGGCAUAUACAGUUUAGGAUAAUGAGACUAUUUGUCACUCAUUUAUGAUAUAUCUUGAUAUAUUGUGUUCAGCACAGGCAUUACAAUGAAGUGUGUUGGUUAGGAGGAGCUAAUGCAGCUACAUUUGGCACAUUCCAUAUCUUAUGCCCUUACAUUAUAUGGCCAUAUAAAGCAAGAGUGUGUGUGUAGCACAUGCAUACAUAUUUUAUAGCUUUUCUAAAGCAUUGUGGUAAUUAGAUGAACACAAUUGUUUAUUGGAAGAAUUUUGGCAAAUAAAUAAUUUAACCAAUAUGGGAAAUAUCAGGAAAGUAUCUUUCUUUUGAAGUAACCUUUUAUCUGAAACCUUUUCUCACCAAUAAAAUCAGAAGCUGGGCAGGUAAUUGUUAAAAAAUACACAUUAUUCUAAAAUGUGAAUGUUAACAUUAAAUGUUUUAUUAUGGCCUGUUUACAUCUGAAGAUUGGUGGUUGUCAUUUAAAACGAUUACCUAAAUAAUUUUUUCAGUGUUUAGCACACGUUGAAAAGUCUAGUAGUGUUUAAAUGUUUAAUGACUUUAUUGUUACACAUCCACAAUUAUGGUGAAAGUUAAAUACAUUGAGUAUUUAAAGGCAGUUUCUUGGUAAAUGUCUGCUGCUGGAAGUUGGAGAAUAUUAAAAAAAACAAUGUAGUGCUAGUUUUGUAUUAAAAGUGAAAUAGUUUGGUGUAUUUUGAAUUUCCGUUUUUCAUUAUUUUAUAUAUAUAUAUAUAUAUAUAUAUAUAUAUAUAUAUAUAUAUAUAUAUAUAUAUAUAUAUAUAUAUAUAUAUAUAUAUAUAUAUAUAUAUAUAUAUAUAUAUAUAUAUAUAAUAUCCCACUGGCUGCUGCUUCAUUAACUAUUUAGUAUACUUUUCUAAAGCCAAAAAUGUUUAACAGGAAUUAAGUGAUAUAAUGUCUCAACCUAAUAAUUAGACUAAUUUUGUUAUCUGUUUUAGAUGUUCCUUCCAAAACUGCACCAUAAUUAAACGUCUCCAAAUGUUUCUCAGGUCAUUUAAGGCAAAAGGUUCAUUAAUCCAGUAAGUGGCAGCAAAUUAGUGGCCAUCCUUCCCAAAGUGUUAAUGUUAAAUUAAUUGCUCAUAUUAAGAAACUAGAGAGAAGCACAGAAAUACACAUGCACAAAGUGCACACAUGCAUGCUUACAGACAGACACACACACAGAAAAUGUGAUUUUAUUGGGCAUUCACACAAUGUACUCAUACACGACCACACACGGGGAGAUGUGUACACAAACUUCAAGAAAAUGUUUCAAAUUGUGGCUGUUGACCUUUGAAAAUGGUACAUGUGGAAUGAUUCAAUCAUGGAGAAAUUAUCUAUGGAAAGGGAACUUUUUUAUUAAAACAAAUUAAAACAUUCAAAACCCAUUCACAGCUGUUUUUAAGAGUUGAUUUGCACAUUAACUAGUUUAAGGAAAAUGAACUAGACAGCUAAAUGGUGUUUGAAAUGAGAUGUGAUUUAGAUAUGUAGAUAAUGGGGUAAGGAUGGCAUUAUAGAUGUGCAUAUCAGUAUCGGUGGCAUGUAGACCCAAUUCUUGCAAUGUAUGACCAAGAGUUUACAUUAUUAUUGUGAUAAAUUUAUUUGCAGUAAAUCCACGGACUGGGUUUCACAUUAUAGAGAUUUGGGGGUAAGCUGUUGCUAAUUAGCAAUUCCUUUUGAUUUUGUCCUAUAUAAUAAGUCAGAUAUCCUAAAGAUCAUGUUUUAUAUAUUGUACUCAAGUACAGUAUAAAGCAGAAGGAAGGAGGUUUAACAUUACAAAUUUAAUUUUUAAAAGUGAAAAUAAACUUGAUACUACAGAAGUUUUAAAGUUUAAAUUCAUAUGGUCUGUUACAUGUUGUGUUGUACUGGACCUAUGUGAUAGGCCAUAACAUGAAAUUAUUUUAAAUAUAGUAAUUUAGGUCAGUAUAUUAUGAUCUUGUAUUUUUCCCCAUUAUGCCAAAGUUGUUUCUGGAACUACAUUUUUCAUUUUGGUAAGAACAGUAGUUUGUUAAUUUUGUUUUAUAAAAUUUAUUCAAGUACAGUAUUUAAUUUGAUAAGAGCAGUUACCAAUAGGUUUUGAGUUUAUAGUUUUUUUUUUUUUUUUUUUUUUUUUUAUAAUUCCAUGAGGCAAUUUAGCUGCUUAUGAAAAAUGCAUUUAUUGGUAGGAAAAAAUUGUGUGCGCAAGAUAUUUUCUGAUUCCUAAAAGUAUUCAUUUAUUAACUGUUGGAAAUUAUAGUUCAAGAAUUUGCAGAGGGAAUGGCUAAUUCAGGAAACAGAUAUAUGCAGUGGUUUUUAACUACUGAAUAGUUGGUCCAACAAUAAUAGGCUUAUUUUUUUGUAUUUUAAUUGGUUCAUUUAUUUGUAAUUUAGUGAAUGAUUACAGAUGACAAAAUUUACUGGUAAAAUUUAUAUAGUUUUGAUGAGAGUUGAAAUUGAGCAACUAUGUAUUUUGGUUGUGUAUAUGGAUAAUAAAUCAUGAUUUAAUUCUU